GUUGUUAGAUCGGCCAUUACU
rnacentral:misc_RNA from 1 species